rnacentral:rRNA from 1 species
UACGUAGGGUGCAAGCGUUGUCCGGAAUUAUUGGGCGUAAAGAGCUCGUAGGCGGUCUGUCGCGUCGGCUGUGAAAUCCCCGAGGCUCAACCUCGGGUCUGCAGUCGAUACGGGCAAACUAGAGUAUUGCAGGGGAGACUGGAAUUCCUGGUGUAGCGGUGAAAUGCGCAGAUAUCAGGAGGAACACCGGUGGCGAAGGCGGGUCUCUGGGCAAUAACUGACGCUGAGGAGCGAAAGCGUGAGGAGCGAACAGG